GUCCGCGUUCUGCGCAGGUGAGGCGUGAGGCACGGGCUCACACCCCGCCCCCGCGGGGCUCCCCUCGGUGUCCGCCCGCCACGCCCCCACCCACCUUCCUGAGCAGCUCAGCGUGGGUGCUGAUGAGCUCGCUGUGCUUCUCCUUGAGCUUCUGGUAGCGGGCUUCAGUGGCGCUGGCCCUCUCUGCAAGGGGCAGGAGAGGCGCUGGUUCCCGGGCGCCUGCCUCCCUCCCCCACCGCCACCCCCCUGCCCGGCGGCCCACGCACUCUCGGCCUCCUCGCGCAGGCCCUGGCUCCGCUGGGCGUCGCGCUGGGCGGCCCGCAGCUGGGCCAGCUCGUGGCGCAGCUGCUCAUUGUCCACCAGCGCCUUCUGCUUCUGCUUGCGCUGCUCCUCCAGCUCGGCCUCCAGCGCGUUCACCUGGCCCUUCAGCUGUGACACGUAGCGCUGGGCCUGCGCGCACAAGGACUGGGGUGUGGGACCCCCGCCCGUGGGUGUGCCACGCAGCCCCAGCCCCGCCUCCCCUGCCCUCACCUCCAGCUUGAUCUUCUCCAGCUCCGCACGGAGCGCCUCCACCUCUCUCUUCAGGGUCUCGAUCUGCACGUCCCUGGGGACAGAUGGCCUUCAAGGUCAGCCCCGACCACAGCUCAGCCCCCACUGCAGGCGGCACCUGGGCCCUCACCUCACCUAUCAUCCUUCAAGGAGCCAUUGGGGGGUCCGAACGUCUGCUCAAAGAGGUCAGCCACCACCUGCCACACAAGCAAUGGUGACUCACGGCCCCAGGGCCUGCAGGCCAGAGGAGGGCAGGGGCAGAGGGACACCCGACCAGAAGGGGGUGAGGGUGGGGGACCUCACCGCUGGCUCUGCGGCAGGAGGCCCCGUGCUGAUCUCGAUGAGGUUCUCGGGCUCCUCGUCCUCAGGGGCCUCCUCGGGGAUCACCACCACAGGCUUGAUGUGCUCCGCCAGCGCCGAGGCCCGCAGGAAGUUGGGAGGCCCCUGCGGGAGGGGCGAUGAGUGGGAGGUGCUCACGGCCCGGAGGAAGCCCCCCUCAGUCAUCCCCAGGGCCCAAGUAGGGACCCCUGGGCACUGGGGUCCCCCAAGCGCCCAGAGUGGGAGCAAGGCUGCAGCCCAGGGGCAGCCGGGGCGGGGGAGCACAGGUACCUCAGGCAGCCGGGGGAUCUGGAUGAGCCGCUUGAAGUAGAGCAUGUCAGAGGCUCUGCGGAAGAAGUUUCUGAGGCUGCAGGUGGGGGGCAGACGAGGGGAGGUCACAGAGCAGCCGGACCCGGCCAAGCAGCCCCAGCUCACCAGGCUGCAGAGGCUCCUCCCUGCCCGGGCCGCACCUGUGGAACUGCUCAUGGAACCGGUCCCUGUGUCCUUGCAGGGUGUCAGCUGGGAGACCUAAGGGCAAGGACAUUAGACAGGACUUCCCCUCUGCCCCUGCUCUGUGACCUGCAAAGACUUAACCUUCCCUCUCUCCCUCCCGCUGCCCCUCUGCUCCGCCACAUUCUAGAAACCAUCGUAGAGGAGAGAGCACCUGCUGCCUGGCCAGGCUCCCCACCAACUGGGAGAGAGAGGGGGUGCUGUGAAAUCGCUCUGGACUCCAGCCUGGGGUGACAGCAUUCUAAAAGCUCAUUCAUCCCAGGCCCAUGGGUCUCAGGAUGGGGUGUGGGGACAGAGACCUCUUCAGAGGGUCCUCCAGGGCCAAACCCUCUGUGAACACUAAGGAGGCGACGUGCGCCUCUUUGGAUGUGUCACACGAGGCACCACGGGGGCCUGACCUCAGAUGCAGGCGCCCCGGCAAAUGCCUCCUCCAAGACGAGGCGUUUCAGAGAACUGCAAACGUGUAAAACCCACGGCCCUCUUCUCCCCGAGUCCUCGUGGUGGAGAACGGCGCUUUCCCACCCCAGCUACACUGUUUCUGUGAACGGGGAGUGUCUGACAGCGUGGACAGAGCCUGCUUGGGAUUCUCUCUGCCCUGCCCCCUACAUCUCAAAAAUAAACAUUUUAUAAAAAUAA